GCUGGGCGUGGUGGCGGGCACCUGUAAUCCCAGCUACUCAGGAGGCUGAGGCAGGAGAAUUGCUUGAACCCGGGAGGCGAAGGUUGCAGUGAGCCGAGAUUGCGCCACUGCACUCCAGCCUGGGUGACAGAGCAAGACUCUGUCUCAA
rnacentral:sRNA from 1 species